AGGAAAAGUGGUUCACUUCCAAAAUUUAUUUUAAAUAGGAAAAGGCCCUGUUUUCAAUGGGCUGGGAAAAUAAAUACAAACCCAAACAAAUAGCACAUAUACAAAUUUGCACUCUUGGGGCCACCGGAGAGAAGGGCUCACAAUCAUGCCUGUGUCUGAAGAGAAAAGAGAAAGCUUUCUUUGGCAGGGGCAAGCGACAUUGCAACGCAAGUGUGCCACAAAGCUCUGCCAGAUAAACACAUGGCUGGUGAGCAGAAACGACACUCCGUUCCUUUAUUUCUUCCAUGGCUUGUGUUCCUCCUGAGUGACAGUCUCGGCACUGGGUGCUCAACAGCACCAGAGACCUGCCCUCAAGGAAAAUGACAUCUCUCUGGGAUUCGAGGAACCAGCUGGAAUGGUGAGUGCUGCUACUGCUGAGGGGGACCGGGUACCCGGGAAAGGGCAGGGGGCAGGUCCCUCAGAGAGAGGGUGCAAAGAAUCAGAUAAAGCUCCUUAGGAGAAAUGACACCUGGGCACAGGCUUGCAGGAGAAGGAGGAGCUGACCCAGCAAUAGGAAAGGAGAAGAGAGCUGCAGGGAGAGGAAGGCAACAUACACAAAGGCCCAGGGGCAAGAGUAUGAUGUUCUGG
rnacentral:lncRNA from 1 species